rnacentral:rRNA from 1 species
ACGGGAGGCAGCAGUGGGGAAUAUUGCACAAUGGGGGAAACCCUGAUGCAGCGACGCCGCGUGAGUGAAGAAGUUAUUCGUAAUGUAAAGCUCUAUCAGCAGGGAAGAUGAUGACGGUACCUGACUAAGAAGCACCGGCUAAAUACGUGCCAGCAGCCGCGGUAAUACGUAUGGUGCAAGCGUUAUCCGGAUUUACUGGGUGUAAAGGGAGCGCAGACGGCUUUGCAAGUCUGAAGUGAAAUCCGCGGGCUCAACCCGUGAACUGCUUUGGAAACUGUAGAGCUAGAGUGUCGGAGAGGUAAGUGGAAUUCCUAGUGUAGCGGUGAAAUGCGUAGAUAUUAGGAGGAACACCAGUGGCGAAGGCGGCUUACUGGACGAUAACUGACGUUGAGGCUCGAAAGCGUGGGGAGCAAACAGGAUUAGAUACCCUGGUA